rnacentral:rRNA from 1 species
GAUGAACGCUAGCGGCAGGCCUAACACAUGCAAGUCGAGGGGCAGCGGGAAUGAAGCUUGCUUCAUUUGCCGGCGACCGGCGCACGGGUGCGUAACGCGUAUGUAACCUACCUUAAACAGGGGCAUAACACGUGAGAAAUUGGUACUAAUUCCCCAUAACACUUUUGAAGGCAUCUUUGGAAGUUGAAAGUUCCGGCGGUUUAAGAUGGACAUGCGUUGUAUUAGUUAGUUGGUGAGGUAACGGCUCACCAAGACGACGAUACAUAGGGGGACUGAGAGGUUAACCCCCCANACUUGGUACUGAGACACGGACCAAACUCCUAC